GAUAAACGCUGGCGGCGUGCAUAAACAUGUAAGUCGAACGGGUGGAAGCCGCAAGGCUGAAGCCAGUGGCGGACGGCUGAGUAACGCGUAGGUGACUUGCCCAAAAGUGGGGAACAACGAUUCGAAAGAAUCGCUAAUACCGCAUGUGGUUGUGCGUAUAAUCGCGUGCAACUAAAGCCCGCAAGGGCGCUUAUGGAGAGGCCUGCGUCCGAUUAGCUAGUUGGUGGGGUAAUGGCCUACCAAGGCUCCGAUCGGUAGCUGAUCUGAGAGGAUGAUCAGCCAGACUGGGACUGAGACACGGCCCAGACUCCUACGGGUGGCUG
rnacentral:rRNA from 1 species